rnacentral:rRNA from 1 species
AUACGAAGGGGGCUAGCGUUGUUCGGAUUUACUGGGCGUAAAGCGCACGUAGGCGGAUUGAUUAGUUAGGGGUGAAAUCCCGAGGCUCAACCUCGGAACUGCCUCUAAAACUGUCAAUCUCGAGACCGGAAGAGGUGAGUGGAACUCCUAGUGUAGAGGUGGAAUUCGUAGAUAUUAGGAAGAACACCAGUGGCGAAGGCGGCUCACUGGUCCGGUACUGACGCUGAGGUGCGAAAGCGUGGGGAGCGAACAGGAUUAGAAACCCUAGUAGUCC